rnacentral:rRNA from 1 species
UACGAAGGGUGCAAGCGUUAUCCGGAUUCAUUGGGUUUAAAGGGUGCGUAGGCGGGGUGGUAAGUCAGUGGUGAAAUCCUGCGGCUUAACCGUAGAAUUGCCAUUGAUACUGCCAUCCUUGAGUACGCUUGACGUGAGCGGAAUGUGUCGUGUAGCGGUGAAAUGCUUAGAUAUGACACAGAACACCGAUAGCGAAGGCAGCUCACGAAGGCGAAACUGACGCUGAGGCACGAAAGCGUGGGGAUCGAACAGG